CCCUCCCUCUUCCCUCCUGCCUAACACAUGCAAGUCGAACGAGACCUUCCGGUCUUGUGGCGCACGGGUGCGUAACGCGUGGUAACCUGCCCUUAGGUUCGCAGUAACUCCCCGAAAGGGGUCCUAAUACCAGAUAAUGUCAUCGGACCAAAGAUUUAUCGCCUUUGGAUGGGGCCGCGUUGGUUUCGCUAGUUGGUAGGGUAAAAGCCUACCAAGACGUCGAUCCAUGGCUGGUCUGAGAGGAUGAUCAGACACAGUGGGACUGAGACACGGCCCAGACGCGUGCGGGAGGAAGGAGGAGGGAAUAUUGGACAGUGGGAGAAAGACUGAGCCAGCAAGGGCGCGUGAGUGAUGAAGGCCUUAGGGAUGUCAAGCUCUCUUAUCCGGGAUGAUAAUGACAGUGCCGGGAGAAUAAGGUACGGCUGAAUCCGUG
rnacentral:rRNA from 1 species